UCUUCUUUUUUCCAAACCCUACAAAUUAAGCAAACAAAAAUCAUCAUCACCAAACAAACCCUUUUCUUCUGUGUUGUUUCUGUGUGUUUCUUCUUCUUUUUUCAAAAUGGGUGUUGAUGAUGAUUUUUAUCUGUGACUUUUUUCAAUUGGCCCAUUUUUACCCUUACAUCUUCAUUUUGUUCGACUAUAUAUAUACUUGUGUUUAUUCAAGUCGGAGCACCAUCCUCUCUCUCUUUCAUCUAUAUAUCUUCUUCCUCAAAUUAAAUUAACGUCGGCGGAGGCAUCUCACGAAAAUGUGAUAACUUACGAGAAGGUGAAGGAUGCUGCAAAUAUUUGACGAGAGGGUAACAAUAAUCAGUUAUGAAGGCUCAAGUUUACUUUUAUGUAGCAAAUUAGUUUUACUUUUGUGCCAUUCAUGGUGAUAUCCAUUUAGUUAAAAUUAAUAGUAAAAAAAUAAUUUUUAAUGUUUA